rnacentral:lncRNA from 1 species
CUGGGCAGCACGAGGUGUAGCGAUGUCUCUGAUGAAGAGCAUACUGAAGAAGAAAGAGUUGCUGAAAUAGACUGAAGAGGAGUCAAGGUAGUGUCUGAAUGGGGAGAGGUGCAUCUUAAAAAUUGAAAAUUAUCUUUCUGAAUUACCUGAUACUGGGAAGAAGGAGGCUGCGCAUCUUACAGAGAAGUUCAAUUUCUAAAUUUGCCAGUAUUUUAACUACAGAUCUCAGCCUGUUGCACCUUUCGUCAUAAUCUUCCAUUUGUCAUCAACAUCAGCUGAUGGAAAAUAAGAGGAAUAAGGACUACAAGUGGUGUUCAAUAAUUAUCAUAGCAACAAAAAUCAAAGAACAGCUAGUGUACCACAGCAACACUACUUAUAGGCUCAUUUAGUUAAGUACCAUGUAACUCAACACUGUCAGUUCAGACACUAUGUGGGGCAUAUUUGAGUAUGUGGAAUAUGCAAGUAAGCAGCCUUCUAGCGAAGCAUCUUUUCAAUGUAAAUUUUGAUCCAUGGGAUGACUUACUGGAUAACCAUCUGUCACUUUGGGAUUAAAUCCCAGGAUGUUACCCAUCACAUCAAAGUCUAG